rnacentral:miRNA from 1 species
AGACUUAUUUUCGGCGGUUUCU